ACGCGUGUGCCACCCGGUCAAGUCUAGGUCUAGCCGCCGCUCCCCUCCCCACCCCCAGGGGAUUUAUCCUCUCUUCCUCUCCAGUCUCCUCCUCCAUCUCCAUGCUCUUCCUGCCUCGGAGUCGGAGACCCUUUACAAUAAUUACUUACUUGGAGCAUCUCUAGCAGACCCUUGACAACCGGGCCUGGAUCUGGAUCCGGAUCCAUCUCUUCUCCCCUCCCCCGCGCCGGAUCGCGCAUCGGCUUGGAGGCCCCUCGGGGCUGCCGCCGGUGCGGGAGGCGUCCGCGGCCGUGCGAGCUGGGAACAGAGCGGCGGGUUUCGAUCGAGGGCUUUCUCGGGCCGGCGCGGGAUCUGAGCCGCCGUCCAUGGAUUUCUCGCAGCUUGGGUUUGGUACUAUCCCCACCUCUCUCUCUCUCCCUCCCUCGGCGUUGACGCGCGCGCACCUAAACCGGAUCAGGCGAGCGCUCGUUGCCUGAUCGCUCAACCAUCGUCCCUGGUCGGCUGACGCCAGGUAUGAGCAGCUCCUGAGCCUGGUCGCUCGAUGCGUGCACGCACGCAUGUAUGCAUAUAUAUACUCCCUCUGUAAAGAAAUAUCAUGGUCAUGUUGCUUGGUGUGGAAUUGUGGCUGAAACAAUCAUGUCUUGGGCAAUCAAGACAGCCGUGGUGGUGGGUACUAAAUAAGAGCGUCUACGACCGGACUUAUUGACCCAUCAUUUGUACCGCCCUCUCAGUUCCCCGUCAGCUACGGUGCCGCCAGCCAUCGACAUUCCAUUGCCUGGGAUCCGGUUGUGGCGUGGGCUGGGAGCCGUACGGUGUUGUUGUCUGAUGUGUGCUGGAGGGUUUGGUCGGUCGAGGCCAGGUAUGAGCAGCUCCUGAGACUGAUGGAUGGAUGAUGUAUGCAUGCAUGAUACUAUGGUCAUGCUGGGACCGGAUUCACUGUUUUGACCCUAUUUGGAGAAGUUCAGCACAAAAUGAACCAUGUUGGAAGCUUAUCUGGGGCGAUGAUGAUGAAACAUGGCUGACAUAAACUUGUCUUCGGGCACCAAAAACACACUCCCCCUUCUUUUGAAACCUUUUCAUUCUCACAGAAUAUUGACGGCUCUGUCUUGGAUGGUCAUUCUGUUGAGUGAUAACCAGAGGAGCUCGACUACAAUUUUGGGGGCUGAUCUGGUGAAAGAAGAUGGUGGAGCUAGGUUGUAUGAUCUAUCAAAGGCGAAUCUGAGCCCUCUCAAAUCUCAAUGCAACUAAUAUUGUGGCCUCUACACUUUUAUUUACUUCUAUCACCUCUUUAUGUUUAAAAGUGAUGAAUUGUCGUGGUUGUGGCAUUUGCUAUCUCAUUAGGAGCAGCUGCUCACAAAUCACCUCUCGUGGUGUUUGGUUUGCUUUCUCAUGAUUUUGUUUUCCAUGGUGGGAACCACUUCGGUGCAUUCGGGCUUUUUCUUUUCGGUUUUACUUUUCCUUGAAUGGUUGUGAUAAUUCUACUGUCCCUUGGAUAGCUUUUGAGAUUAUCUUAUUGGGUUGGGGGUCAGUUUGCUUGUUUGAAUUGCUAUUUGGCUUUUGAUAUUGUCAUCCUUCUAUACGCUUUAUGUACUUAUUAUCAGUUUGCACUUUUGGCACUCCCCACUUCUUUACUGGUUUCAACUUAAGGGUCGAUGGAUUUUGGCAGCUUGGCUGCAUGUUGCUUCGGAUUCGGUACUGUCACCAUCUUCCUCUGCCCCCCCCCCCCCCCCCCCCCCCCCNNNNNNNNNNNNNNNNNNNNNNNNNNNNNNNNNNNNNNNNNNNNNNNNNNNNNNNNNNNNNNNNNNNNNNNNNNNNNNNNNNNNNNNNNNNNNNNNNNNNNNNNNNNNNNNNNNNNNNNNNNNNNNNNCCGAAACCCUGAACCGAAUCAUCAGAGCUCUUGUUGCCGCAUCACCGACCCAUCGUCCGGGUGGGUGCCGCGUCAGUCCCUCAGGCUCUACGGUGCCGCCAAUCCAUUGGCUUGGAUUCAGUUGUGCCAUGGGCUGGGAACCGUACAGUGAUGUCUGAUCGGUCGUCCGUGCGGGAGGUUUGGUCGGUCGAGGCCAGGUAUGAGUAGCUCUUGAGCAGGAUGGAUGCAGAGGGCGAUGAUGAUGAUGACGACGAGUGUGGCUGAAAUAAAGGUGUCUAGACAACCUAUAGCCAGCAGUCGGCUAUACUAUUAACCAUGCUCUAAAUAGAAUCGGUGAACGCAUUAGAGUUGCUCUUAGAGCCCACCCUUACUUCUCUUGCAGCCUGUUCAAUUCAUCGCUGAUGCUGGAUGUUCUGUGGCUCGGACGGUCAUCCUGAUGAGUGAUAACCAGGGCAGUUCUCCUCUACACUGAUGGGUAGAUUUUGCAGCAAGAGAUGUGGUUGGGUUUCAAGAUGAAAUGCAAAACUGAGCCAUCUUCUUUUGCUUAUCCUCUCUCUCUCAAACCCUAAACCAAAUCAGUUGAGUUCUCAUUGCCGACUCGUUGACCAAUCGUCUGUGUGGUUGGUGUGUCAGUUCCACACCGCUACGGCGCCGCCACCGCUAUCCCAUUGGCUUCGAUUCGGGUGCGGCGUGGGCUGGGAACCGUACGGUGUUGUCUGAUGCGUCGUCUGAGCAGGAGGGUUGGUCUGUCGAGGCCAGGUAUGAGCAGCUCCUGAGAUGGUGGACGGAUGGAUGUAUGCAUGCAUGUAUGUAUGUAUAUCAUGGUCAUGUUGCUUGUGGUUCGGUGUCCUUUUUGGAAAAAACUGAGGGGCGAUGAUGAUGCCUGUGGCUGAAAUAAUUAUGUCUUGAGCAAUCAGGACAUCUGUGGUGCGUGGGUACUAAAUAGGGCCUGAACGGGUGCUUGCGUUGGAGAUGCCCUUAAGGGCCCUCCCUUGGCUCUCUUGCAGCCUGUUCAAUUCAUUACCAAUUUUGGAUGUUCUGCGCCGCGGACGGUCAUUCUGUUGAGUGAUAACCAGAUCAGUUCUCUUGCAUCAAGAUGGGUAGAUUAUGCAGCAAGAGAUGCGGAGUGUUGGGCUUCAAGAUGAAACACAAAACUGAGCCCUCUUUUGAUAUGCUACAAAUACUAAAGUAGUGAUCUAAACGCUCUUAUAUUUCUUUACGGAGGGAGUAUUUGUGAACAUAGGGAGUAUCUAUCUAUCAGGGGCGAUGAUGAUCAAACAUGGCUGAUAUAAACCUGUCUUCGAUUAUUCAAGAAGCUGUGGGUAUCAAAAACCAUCUCUCCCCUCUUUUGGGACCUUUUCAUUCUCACCAAAUAUUGAUGGCUCUGUCUUGGAUGGUCAUUCUGUUAAGUAAUAACCAGCAGAGCUUGACUUCAAUGUUGGGGGUUGAUCUGGUGAAAGAAGAUGGGGCUAGUGUGAUCUAUCAAAGGCGAAUCUGAGCCCUCCUACAUCCGAUUCAUAAAAAAGUUGGAACAUCUUAUAUUUGUGAACUGAGGGGAGUAUCUAUCUAUCUAUCUAUCUAUGAGGGGCAAUGAUGAUCAAACAUGGCUGACAUAAACCUGUCUUUGAUUAUUUGAGGAGCUUUGGGUAUAAAAAACCCUCUCUCCCCUCUUUUGGGACCUUUUCAUUCUCAACGAAUAUUGACGGCUCUGUCUUGGAGGGUCAUUCUGUUGAGUGAUAACCAGCAGAGCUUGACUUCAAUGGUGGGGAAUGAUCUGAUGAAAGAAGAUGGUGGGGAUAGUAUGAUCUAUCAAAGGCAAAUCUGAGCCCUCCUACAUCCGGUUCAUAAAAAAGUUAGAACAUCUUAUAUUUGUAAAUAGAGGGAGUAUCUAUCUAUCUAUCUAUCAGGGGCGAUGACGAUCAAACAUGGCUGACAUAAACCUGUUUUUGAUUAUUUAAGGAGCUGUCGGUAUCAAACACCUGCUCUCCUCCCCUCUUUUGGGACCUUUUCACUCUCACCGAAUAUUGACGGCUGUCUUGGAUGGUCAUUCUGUUGAGUGAUAACCAGCAGAGCUUGACUUCAAUGGUGGGGGAUGAUCUGGUGAAAGAAGAUGGUGGGGCUAGUAUGAUCUAUCAAAGGCGAAUCUGAGCCCUCUCAAUGCAACUUAUAUUGUGCGUAAAAAGUUAGUAUGUUUAAUAAAGGUAAUAAAUUGUUGUGGUGUUUGGUUUGCCUUCUCAUGAUUUUGUGGUUCAUGGAGGGAACCAGUUUGGUGCUUUCAGGCUUUGCUCAAGCUCGUCUCGUUGUGGUGGUCCUUGUACCGGUAGUGUUUGAAUGUGUUUACUCCCUUCUUUUCGUGGGGUUAAAUGUGUGAAGCAUGGUCAGCAAAUGUUUGCCCUCUUUUCCUGUCUAUGCAUGUCCUCUUUUUCGUCCCCUUAUUUUUUUACUGGUUCUUAUGGCAGUGAUGUAAAUUCAAGUCGGCAAGUUGUCAACAUUUUUUCUACUGUUUUAGCAUAGCACAGCAACUGCUAAUUGGCCUUUAAGAAUACAAUUUGGCCGGUUUGCUUUUUGCUGAUGACCAUUCUAAUGCUUAUACAAGCCAAUGCGUGGAAAACCACAAAAAUCUUGUGUUGCGAAAAUACCACUUCUAUCUUUUCCUUUUUGAGAAUUUGUCUUUCUUGCCAAGCUUGUAUCCAUGUAUACAUAAAAGAUAUGUUGAGAGUUUGGUUUUGGUUUUAGUUCUUUUGGUAUGCAAAGGACUGUUUUGCAAGUUAACGUUUUGGAUGCCGCCUGUGCGGGAGGCGUCCGCGGCGGCGCGGGCUGGGGAACGAGCGGCGGGGCCCAUGCUGCGCUCCGGUCGAGGGCUUGGUCGGGCCGGCGCGGGAUCUGAGCUGCCGUCGAUGGAUUUCUGGCAGCUUGGCUGCAUGUAGCUUUGGAUUCGGUAACAUCCCCAUCUCUCCGUCUCUGACCCCCCCCCCCCCCCNNNNNNNNNNNNNNNNNNNNNNNNNNNNNNNNNNNNNNNNNNNNNNNNNNNNNNNNNNNNNNNNNNNNNNNNNNNNNNNNNNNNNNNNNNNNNNNNNNNNNNNNNNNNNNNNNNNNNNNNNNNNNNNNNNNNNNNNNNCUGACCCAUUGUCCCGAGAUGGCCCCUGCGUCAGUUCCACACCGCUACGGCGCCGCCAGCCACCGCCGUUCCAUUCCCUUGGGUUCAGUUGUGGCGUGGGCUGGAGCCGUACUCUGUUGUCUGAUGCGUCGUUGGAGCGGGAGGUUUGGUCGGUCGACGCCAGGUAUGAGCAGCUCCUGAGCAGGAUGGAUGGAUGAAUGCAUCCAUGUGUCGUGAACUAAAAUCACGACACUUAUUUGGAACGGAGGGAGUAGUAUGUAUGGAUGUCAUGGUCAUGUUGCUUGGUGUGCAGUGCCCGGCCGGGGGAUUGAACCCCCUUUUCGAAAAAUGAAAAUAAUGAGGGGCAAUGAUGAUCAUGACGAUGACUGAAAUAAUCAUGCCUUGAGCAAUCAAGACAGCCGUGGUGUGGUGGUACUAAACAGAGCUGAAAAAAAAACGGUGUCUGGGUUGGAGUUGCCCUUAGAGCCCACCCUUACCUCUCUUGCAGCAUGUCCAAUUCAUCGCUGAUGUUGGAUGCUUUGUGCCUCGGAUGGUCAUUCUGUUGAGUGAUAACCAUGGUAGUUCUCUUACAUCGUGAUGGGUAGAUUAUGAAGCAAGAGAUGUGAGGGUUGGGCUUGAAGAUGGAAAGACAAAAACCGAGCAUCUUUUGCUAUAUAUCUCUCUCAAAUCCUAAACUAAAUCAGUUGAGCUCUCAUUGCUGACUCGCUGGAUCUGGGCCGCCAUCGAUGCAUUUCUCGCAGCUUGGCUGCAUGUUGCUUUGUAUUCGGUACUAUCCCCAUCUCUCUCUCUCUUUCUUUCUCUCUCUCAGACGCUCACACACACUUGCUCUAGUAAAGCCUAACCCUCAACCGAAUCAGGCGAGCUCUCGUUGCCGGAUCUCUGACCAUCGUCCCGGUGGCCGCUGCACACCACUACGACGCCGCCAGCCACCACUGUUCCAUUGCCUUGGAUUCGGUUGUGGCGUGAGCUGGAACCGUGCUCUGUUGUCUGAUGCGUCGUUCGAGCGGGGGGUUUGGUUGUUCGAUCAACUUAUGAAAAAGGGUCAAAACACGAAAUUUAGCCUUUGGGUUGUGGCCGCGUCACUUCACUGCUGUGGUGCUGCCAGCCUCUGCCGUUCCAUUGCCUUGGAUUUGGCUGUGGCGUGGGCUGGGAACCGUGCGGUGUUGUCUGGUGCGUCGUCAGGUUUGGUCGGUCCAGGCGAGGCAUGUGUAGCUCCUGAGGCUGAUGGGGAUGGAUGGACAUGUGCACGCAUGUACUUCCUCCGUUCCUAAAUAUAAGUCUUUCUAGAGGUCUCAAUAUGAACUACAUACGGACAUGUGCUCGCAUGUACUUCCUUCGUUCGUAAAUAUAAGUCUUUUUAGAGAUCCCAAUAUGGACUACAUACGGAGCAAAAUGAGUGAAUCUACACUAUAAAUCAUGUCUAUAUACACCCGUAUGUAGUACGUAUUGAAAUCUCUAAAAAGACUUAUAUUUAGAAACGGAGGGAGUAUGAUCUAAAUGCUCUUAUAUUUCUGUACAGAGGGAGUAUGUAUGUAUGUAUGUAUGUAUGUAUGUAUGUAUGUAUGUAUGUAUAUCAGGGUCAUGUUGUGCCUGGUGGGCAAAGACCGGUGGUACAACCUCCUUUUCGGUAAAAAAUGAAGGGCGAUGAUGAUGACUGUGGCUGAAAUAAGCAUGUCUUGAGCAAUCAAGAUAGCUGUGGCCUGUGUGUACUAAAUUAGAGCCCACCCUUUCCUCCCUUGCAGCCUGUCCAAUUCAUCGGUAACGUUGGAUGUUCUGCACCUUGGACGGUCAUUCUGAUGAGUGACAACCAGGGCAGUUUUCUUACAUUUUGAUGGGUAGAUUAUGCAGCAAGAGAUGUGAGUGUUGGGUUUGAAGAUGAAAUGCAAAACUGAGCCNNNNNNNNNNUUUGCUUAUGAUCCUUGUAUCCCCUCUCUCUCUCCCUAAAACAAAUCAGUCAAGUUCUCAUUGCCGGCUUGCUGGCCCAUCGUCUCUGUGGCUGCCAUGUCAGUUCCCUGUCUUUACGGUGCUGCCAGCCGCAACCAGUCCAUUGCCUUGGAUUCGUUGUGGUGUGGCUGGGAACCGUAAGGCGUCGUCUGAUGCGUCGUCCACACUGGGAGGUUUGGUCGGUUGAGGCCAGGUAUGAGCAACUCCUGAGACUGUCUAAGUUACUCACCACUAUGGCCAGCCUGAUGGAUGGAUGGAUGGAUGGAUGGAUGGAUGGACGGACGCAUGCAUGCAUGUAUGUAGGGAUAGUAUGGUCAUGUUGCUUGGGGUUUGACCUCCUUUUCAAAAAAAAAAAAGGGGCGAUGAUGAUGCCUGUGGCUGGAAUAAUUAUGUGUUGAGCAAUCAAGACAGCUGUGGCGUGUGGGUACUAAAUAGGCCCCGAAUGGGGCCGGAGUUGGAGAUGCCCUUAAGAGCUCACCCUUACGUUUCUUGCAGCCUGUUCAAUUCAUGGCUAAUGUUGGAUGUUCUGCGCCUCGGAUGGUCAUUCUGAUGAUUGAUAACCAGGGCAGGUCUCUUACAUCGCGAUGUGUAGGUUAUGCAGCAAGAGACGUGAGUAUUGGGCUUGAAGAUGAAAGGCAAAACUGAGCCCUCUUUUGCUACGCUACAAAUACUUAGUUUUUCCUUCUCUACUAUACAUUGUUUUUUAUUUUCUGUUCCUCUCUAUUGUGUUGAUGUGAGAUCUCGAUCUGGAUUGCUAUCUUCUCUUGGUGACGAACCCAACCACCCUGGGUUACUUGGUUUGGUUCCUAGUUGGCGUUGUUUUUGCCUUUAAAGUUGUACAUAUACAUACUAUGUGUCAAACGAUUCUCCUUUUUUCCUCCAAUGCUUGUAGCUAUUGGCAGUUCUAUUCAUGUGGUUAACGAGAAGCUGUUCUCUUGCUUGUCUUGUCCUGCCAGAUGCUUCUUCAAAGACCAAGUUCUGAUCCGUUAUGUCUGUGUUUUUAUAAACUGAAGCUCAAAUUACCUUCGUAUUUGGUUUGGUCAGAGCAGACCUUUUGUUAUGAUUCUCUAUGCUAUUUAGUUCAUUGGUGAUUAGUCUAUUUUCAGCUGCUGCUGUCAAUAUUAACUGUCACAUUUUCGAUGCAUGCGUGUUACAGAUCCCUUGAACGGAUUCGAAAUGAGUGUCAAGUAAAGUUAUCAAAUGCAAAAGUGUAUUUGUUAAAAAGGCUCUUAUAUUUAACUGAAUGUCCUCCUGGAGCUUCCGCUUAGGUCAUUCAUGAUUUAUAUGUUGGGGGCUCGCCCCCUUCUCAUUAUAUAUUUUAAAAUUAAUUUAUUCAGUAUUCUUGCUUUGGUUUUGUUUUCAUUUUGCCAGAGGUUAGACUGACCGGUGUUCAGUUUCAUGGUGGAAUUGCCCACUAUCCAAUGUCACAUGCCUGACUAUUUAGCAUUAGAACCCCAUUUUUCAUGGGAUAAACGGGUGAGCUGCAUUUCCUGCUUUCUGUUUGUAUUAUAUGCAUCCCUUUUUGCAAGCUUAUGCUUUUCUUCUGUUUCAAAACGGAAAGUUUAUGUCAUCCUGUUUUUAUUUGGCUUGUAGUGACUCAACCAAGCCUUUAGUCUCAACACAUGGAUUGCUAGCUUCUACGCACCUCUGUCCAUGGCUAGUUCUUUGGUGAUAUUCCAUGUCCUCCUUUACUAUCCCACCCCUGUCCAUGGCUAGUUCUUUGGUCAUAUUACAUGUCCUCCUGUAUUAUCACUAUUAAAUUUUUACUGGUUCUUUUGGUAGUGAUGUACAUUCAAGUCGGCAAAUUGUGAACUUCUUUUCUACUGUUUUGGUCCAGCACAGCAACUGCUAACUGGCCUCAAGGAAUACAAUUUGCAUGGUUUGCUUUCUGCUGAUGACCAUUUUAAUGUGUAUAGAAGCCAAUACGUUGAAAAACACAAUGUUGUCAUAAGCCUGUAUCUACCUCCUGUUGCAAAAAUACCAUGGCUACCUUUUAUAAAUUGGCCAACUCUGAGCCUCCCGCCUAAUAAAGUUCUGAGUAAAAUUGAGUGUUUCCUUCCCAAAAUUUGAACUGAUCUUUUCCUUUUUGGUAAUUUGUUGUUCUUGCUUGCUUGCAUCCAUGUAUACAUAAAAGAUAUGUUGAGAGUUCGGUUAUGAUAUUAGUUCUUUCGGUAAAAUCAUGGGCUGGUGGAUGCAAAAGUAGUUUUGCAAGUUUAUAUUUUCGCCUUUUUUCCUACACAUUUUGUUGGUUUUGCAGUAUGUCAACCGGUUCUGUUGUUUUAGGAACAGUACUCCAGGCUCACUUAAUUCUUGUCUCUCUCUUUUUUUUUUUUCCUUUUUUGUUCUUCCUUUUUCUUGAAUGGCUAUGAUAAUUCUGCUGUGCCUUGGAUGGUAAUCUUAUUUGGUGCUGGGUCAGUUUGCUUGUUUCAAUUGCUAUUUGACUUGAUAAUUUUGUUCUUCUAUUGUACUCUUUAUUAUCUACUUAUCAGUUUGUAGUUUUGGUUUCUCUUUAGGCCGCGCUUGGGAUGGUUGUAUUUCAAUACGGGGGUAUUUAGUUUACACUUGUAUUUUACUGGCUGCUGAGGCCGUGUUUGAGUUGUCGUUUUCUUUCCAAAUACGUCUGUAAACAAUACAGAUCUCCAUCCGUCGUUUCGCUUCCAGCCGGGAAUCUCUAUUAGCUCGGUAAAUCACACCUGUAAAUUAAAUACAUUUGUAUCUAAAUACACCCAUUCCAAGCGGGGCCUGAACAAUUUCUGGCUGAAAACAAAACGAUGGCCCGAGGUCCGUAUUUUUUACACGUGUAUUUGAAACGGAAACCUGUACUUCUUUACUGGUUUCAACUUAAGGGUCGCAUAUAGCAAGUUCAGCUGUCAAAAUUACUGUCUUCUUUGUGUCACAUUCCUGAAUGGCUGUGAUGAUAUAACCUCCCUAUGAGAGCUAUCUAACACCUGAAUUGAUUUACUUGGUGCUAAACUAGGAUGGCUUGUGUCAAGCAAGUAACCAGUUUAGCGGCUAACUCCCUCAGUUCAUUGGAUUUUUCAGUAUGGACUACGCACGGACUGAAAGGAGUGACUAAACACACUAAAAAUAUACACCCGAUUAAGAAAAAAGUUAGAACAUCUUAUAUUUCUGAAUGGAAGGAGUACUGUUAAACGUUGGAAUUAAGAAUCCACUUAACAGUGUGUAGAGACGGACAAUGGAGAUUACAUGAUCCUUCUACUUAUGGUGGCAAGAUGGCGUUAUAUUUGAGCCAUUUACUUAUACAUGUCCCAGUUUUAUGUGUCCACCAGUUCAUGGUUUGCUCCUGGUAUUGUUUCUUUCUGCAAUCACUGAUUCUCCUAUGAUUUCUUGUCAUCUUGUGCUCUUUGACUAUUGGCUUCUUUGUAAUUCUCUUUGUGGUAUUUGCGCCAAAGUGCUGUUGAUGGCGAUAAUGAGUAAUGUUCAUUCAGAGGUGUAUUUAGAUCAGAUAUCAUCACUUGUUUAUAUGGUAUGUUUUAGGGUUAGGGUUUUGUGUGACUAGGUGGAAGUGUGCAAAUCGGGACGGCUUGCUUUCUCAUUUGAAUGCUGAAAUGUCACACAGGGAUGUAAGGGCAUCUGCAAUGCGGAUCAAUGCGGAUCACCAGGGGUGUAAGGGCAUCUGCAAAGCGGAUCACCAAGUGUAUCGGAUACAGAGUGGGUUCUGCCCAUAUGAGAGCCUCCUUUUUUUUUAAAUAAAUACGACCUCUACUUUUGAAUAUUAUUGGUUUUGAUUCUUCUCAAUCUAUUAAUGAUUUAUAGCAGUAUUGGGAUCUCAUUGUAAUAUACUCCCUUCGUAAAGAAAUAUAAGAGCGUUUAGAUCACUAAGUAAUCUACGACACUUACAAGAUAUGCUCAUUGCAAACUGGAUUUUGUUCUAUUUUACACUUGCAUACUCAGAAUGCGUUGAAUUACUCAUGCAUCAAGAGGUUGUACUUUAUUUGAAUAAAAAGCAAUCCUAUGUGCUGAGGGCCCUGGGAAGCGGCAGAGGGCGUAUUUUGCUUUGCGAGAACUACAGGUGUUCCUGGGUUUGCGCAUGUUCAUAUUCUCGACUAUUUUCUCACCAUAUACAUGUUCAGUGUUGCUGUACGUACACAUAGAUAAUGCCCGUUGCUAUACAUACACAUCUAUAAUGCCAACAUACGCAUAUAUAAUGCCCAGUACAUAACUAUCUGUACGUGAGAUUUUCAUUAUUCAUUACUUGGAGGCAUGGUGUUGAUAAUCUAAAUAUUGAGCUUCCUCAUACAGUAUGUCUCAUCAUACAGUUUCAUCUGGGUUCUGAAGUUGCGCCUCAUACGUACCGGGCAGUUGGAAUACACAGCACCGCCUGCAAAGGUUCCAACUCCUCUUGUGAAGCUAACCAUUUGGCCCUUCCGAAAAGAAAUCUGACUCUGUCCGAAAUCCUGACCAUGUGGUAUAUGGAGAUGAUUUCUGACACCCGAAGAAGAAUUGAAUAUCCUAAUCCAAGAGAAAAAUUGCCUCUGUUCUCAACAAGUGCAGGUGCCAAAGGAUCAUAUUUCAAUCGCUCCACGCAUCCUAAGUUCUUUCAGAAUAGUCCAUACGAUAGCCCUUGCACCUCGCCCUCUCCUUAGUUCUGAACUCAAGAACAAGCAAUAUGUUACUCUCGAGUACUAUAUGAAAGCCGAAAGAUAUUAUCUCAUGAAUUUCCAAAUAUCACCGCUACGCGAGAGAUUGGCU
rnacentral:lncRNA from 1 species